UACGGAGGGGCUAGCGUUGUUCGGAAUUACUGGGCGUAAAGCGCACGUAGGCGGCUUUGUAAGUUAGAGGUGAAAGCCCAGGGCUUAACCCUGGAAUUGCCUUUAAGACUGCAUCGCUAGAAUCGUGGAGAGGUAAGUGGAAUUCCGAAGUGUAGAGGUGAAAUUCGUAGAUAUUCGGAAGAACACCAGUGGCGAAGGCGACUUACUGG
rnacentral:rRNA from 1 species